rnacentral:rRNA from 1 species
AGAGUUUGAUCCUGGCUCAGAUUGAACGCUGGCGGCAUGCCUAACACAUGCAAGUCGAACGGAAACGAUGGAGAGCUUGCUCUUCAGGCGUCGAGUGGCGGACGGGUGAGUAAUGCUUAGGAAUCUACCCAUGUAGUGGGGGACAACCUGGUGAAAACCAGGCUAAUACCGCAUGAGCCCUUCUGGGGAAAGCAGGGGAUCUUCGGACCUUGCGCUAUUGGAUGAGCCUAAGUCGGAUUAGCUUGUUGGUGGGGUAACGGCCUACCAAGGCGACGAUCCGUAGCUGGUCUGAGAGGAUGAUCAGCCACACUGGGACUGAGACACGGCCCAGACUCCUACGGGAGGCAGCAGUGGGGAAUAUUGGACAAUGGGCGCAAGCCUGAUCCAGCAAUGCCGCGUGUGUGAAGAAGGCCUGCGGGUUGUAAAGCACUUUCAGUAAGGAGGAAAUGCUCAAGGUUAAUAACCUUGAGUCUUGACGUUACUUACAGAAGAAGCACCGGCUAACUCUGUGCCAGCAGCCGCGGUAAUACAGAGGGUGCGAGCGUUAAUCGGAAUUACUGGGCGUAAAGCGCGCGUAGGCGGUUUGUUAAGUUGGAUGUGAAAGCCCUGGGCUCAACCUUGGAACUGCAUUCAAAACUGGCAGGCUAGAGUAUGGUAGAGGUAAGUGGAAUUCCGGGUGUAGCGGUGAAAUGCGUAGAUAUCCGGAGGAACAUCAGUGGCGAAGGCGGCUUACUGGACCAAUACUGACGCUGAGGUGCGAAAGCGUGGGGAGCA